AGCAGCCGCGGUAAUUCCAGCUCCAAUAGCGUAUAUUAAAGUUGUUGCAGUUAAAAAGCUCGUAGUUGAAUUUCGAGAUCAAUAUGUUGGUCGUGCCUUUGGUACGUACUGGUAUUAUUGGUUUCUCCUUUCUGAUGAAUCACGACGUCAUUAAUUUGGUGUCAUGGGGAAUCAGGACUGUUACUUUGAAAAAAUUAGAGUGUUUAAAGCAGGCUUACGCUUGAAUACAUUAGCAUGGAAUAAUGAAAUAGGACGUUUAAUUCUAUUUUGUUGGUUUCUAGGAUUGACGUAAUGAUUAAUAGGGAUAGUUGGGGGCAUUAGUAUUCAAUUGUCAGAGGUGAAAUUCUUGGAUUUAUUGAAGACUAACUACUGCGAAAGCAUUUGCCAAGGAUGUUUUCAUUAAUCAAGAACGAAAGUUAGGGGAUCGAAGACGAUCAGAUACCGUCGUAGUCUUAACCAUAAACUAUGCCGACUAGGGAUCGGAUGAUGUUAAUUUAUGACUCAUUCGGCGUCCG
rnacentral:rRNA from 1 species